AUUGAACGCUGGCGGCAGGCCUAACACAUGCAAGUCGAGCGGAGCGAGGGUGCAGGCACCCUAGCUGAGCGGCGGACGGGAGAGAAAUGUUGAGGAAUGCGCCGAUUAGGGGGGGACAACAUUCAGAAAGGGACGAUAAUAGCGCAUACGCCCUACGGGGGAAAGCAGGGGAUCUACGGACCUCGCGCUAAUAGAUGAGGCUAAGUCGGAUUAGAGAGUGGGUGGGGUAAAGGCCUACCAAGGCGACGAUCUGUAGCGGGUCUGAGAGGAUGAUCCGCCACACUGGGACUGAGACACGGCCCAGACUCCUACGGGAGGCAGCAGUGGGGAAUAUUGAACAAUGGGCGGAAGCCUGAUCCAGCCAUGCCGCGUGUGUGAAGAAGGCCUUUUGGUUGUAAAGCACUUUAAGCGAGGAGGAGGCUCUUAAGGUUAAUACCCUUGAUGAGUGGACGUUACUCGCAGAAUAAGCACCGGCUAACUCUGUGCCAGCAGCCGCGGUAACAC
rnacentral:rRNA from 1 species